rnacentral:rRNA from 1 species
UACGUAGGGGGCUAGCGUUGUCCGGAAUCAUUGGGCGUAAAGAGCGUGUAGGCGGUCCGGUAAGUCCGCUGUGAAAGUCGGGGGCUCAACCCUGGAAUGCCGGUGGAUACUGUCGGGCUCGAAUCCGGAAGAGGUGAGUGGAAUUCCUGGUGUAGCGGUGAAAUGCGCAGAUAUCAGGAGGAACACCAAUGGCGAAGGCAGCUCACUGGGACGGUAUUGACGCUGAGACGCGAAAGCGUGGGGAGCAAACAGG